CUCCGGUGAUCCCCGCCGGACCCGACUGCUAUCGGAUUGAGAUUUAGCCAUGCGAGUUGAACGUCUUCUGACUGCAGGAGGCGUAGCAUACGGCUCAGUAACACGUAGUCAACCUGCCCUGGAGACGCGGAUAACCCCGGGAAACUGGGAUUAAUCCACGAUAGGUCACCUCAUCUGGAAGGAGAGAUGGCCCAAAGGGGAAUUGUGAGCAUGUUUCACUACUCUCGCUCCAGGAUGGGACUGCGGCCGAUCAGGCUGUUGGCGGGGUAAAGGCCCACCAAACCUGUAACCGGUACGGGCUUUGAGAGAAGGAGCCCGGAGAUGGACACUGAGACAAGGGUCCAGGUCCUACGGGGCGCAGCAGGCGCGAAACCUUCGCAAUGCGCGAAAGCGUGACGAGGUUAGUCCGAGUGGCUUCCGCUGAGGAGGUCUUUUGCUGGCUCUAAAAAGGCUGGAGAAUAAGGGGAGGGCAAGCCUGGUGUCAGCCGCCGCGGUAAUACCAGCUCCUCGAGUGGUCGGGGCGAUUAUUGGGCCUAAAGCAUCCGUAGCCGGUUCAGUAGGUCUUCUGCAAAAUCCAAUCGCUUAACGAUUGGCCCGCAGGAGAUACCGCUGGACUAGGAGGCGGGAGAGGUGGACGGUACUCCACGGGUAGGGGUAAAAUCCUUUGAUCCGUGGAAGACCACCAGUGGCGAAGGCGGUCCACCAGAACGCGCUCGACGGUGAGGGAUGAAAGCUGGGGGAGCGAACCGGAUUAGAUACCCGGGUAGUCCCAGCCGUAAACGAUGCGAGCUAGAUGAUCCAAUCGCAAAUCGCGAUUGGAGUGUCGCAGGGAAGCCGUUAAGCUCGCCGCCUGGGGAGUACGGUCGCAAGGCUGAAACUUAAAGGAAUUGGCGGGGAGCA
rnacentral:rRNA from 1 species